rnacentral:rRNA from 1 species
UACGUAGGCAGCAAGCGUUGUUCGGAAUUACUGGGCGUAAAGAGUACGUAGGUGGUUUGCCAAGUCCGAUGUGAAAUCUCCUGGCUUAACUGGGAGGGUGCGUUAGAUACUGGCAGGCUUGAGUGUGGGAGAGGAGAGCGGAAUUCCUGGUGUAGCGGUGAAAUGCGUAGAUAUCGUAAGGAAGACCAGUGGCGAAGGCGGGUCUCUGGACAGUUCCUGACACUGAGGCACGAAGGCCAGGGGAGCAAACGGG